UCCUGCCAGCGGCUUAAUGAGCUCUUUGUC
rnacentral:piRNA from 1 species